rnacentral:misc_RNA from 1 species
AAGAAACUCUCUUAGCCGUGAAAUUACAUAAUUAACCGGUUAUCAGCAAUUAUAUAUGAAAUGAUAUAAUAACAAUUAAAUAAUCCUUUACUUGCUUAUAAAUAAACCAUGAAACCUCUUCCAAUCCACCUUUCAACUUCCCACUAACAACCGUACACUAUCACCCCUCAUUUUUCCGAGAUCAUUCUGCAAAUUAAUACGAUCGUCUAUUAUAGUUACUAGGAUUUUUAGCAACUAACCAUUUUGAUCCUAAUCGUGUCACUCAAGGCCAACAACCUAAACUGAAAACGUGUUGAAACUUGGAAGCCUUAAAUAAUUCUGCUUGAAUGGCUUUAACUAUCCUCAUGAAACUUAAGUGGACUCCGCUUUAACAACUGCUCGGAUGUCACAAGACUUGGUACUCGAUAGUACAAAGGUCUAGCAACCACCUUCUGAUGUUGUUUGGGUUUACUAACUGCUAAAUUCUGGAACAAGUAAUGGUCUGUCGUUACUAACGAGACACGUUAAUAAAGACUACUAAUGGAAUCCAGGACGAACCUAAAAAACUUCUAUGAGAUUCUACAAUACUUCAAGAAUAACUAAAUUCAUCAUCCGAAUAUCAAUCACCAAGUAAUAUUGAUUGCAAAUAAAGAUAAACUAUCAAAAACUGAUGAGCAAAACUAGAUAUUCUCACUCAUAACACAGAUCAAAAGUUUUUAAGUUCAGUUUAUUCAUCCUCCUGGCUCCGCAACCUAGCCAGCUUGUUUGUGACAACGACAUCCAGUUGGGCAGCUCGCUCCACAAUCUCUUUCCUCUUUCUUGUAGACACAUCAUGUGCAAUUUCAGCACAGUAGGUCCUGUUAUGCAUCAUCAACAGU